rnacentral:rRNA from 1 species
CGCAUCUGUGCAUGCAGCAUAUCAAUAAGCGGAGGAAAAGAGGGCUAUUACCUACGCUUAGGAUGUUGAAGAUGUAGCACAUACACGCAUGAAAUGCAUAAUAAGCGGAGGAAAAGUCAACUACCUACGCUUAGGAUGUUGAAGAUGUAGCACAUCAUGCACGCAUGACACACUGCAUAUCAAUAAGCGGAGGAAAAGAGGGCUAUUACCUACGCUUAGGAUGUUAAGAUGUAGCACAUCAUACACGCAUGACACACUGCAUAUCAAUAAGCGGAGGAAAAGGCAUAUCAAUACCUACGCUUAGGAUGUUGAAGAUGUAGCACAUCAUACACGCAUGACACACUGCAUAUCAAUAAGCGGAGGAAAAGCUGUUACCUACGCUUAGGAUGUUGAAGAUGUAGCACAUCAUACACGCAUCUGUGACAUGCAGCAUAUCAAUAAGCGGAGGAAAAGAGGGCUAUUACCUACGCUUAGGAUGUUGAAGAUGUAGCACAUCAUACACGCAUGACACACUGCAUAUCAAUAAGCGGAGGAAAAGAAACUAACAAGGAUUCCCCUAGUAACGGCGAGUGAAGCGGGAAGAGCUCAAAUUUGAAAUCUUAAAGGGUUUCCCUUUACGAAUUGUAGUUUAAAGAAGUGUUUUCUGUUGAGGUUUUGGUAAAAGUUCUUUGGAAUAGGACAUCAUAGAGGGUGAGAAUCCCGUAUUUGACCUUUACUUUCAACUUUGUGAUACACUUUCAAAGAGUCGGAUUGUUUGGGAAUGCAGUCCAAAAUGGGUGGUAAAUUUCAUCUAAAGCUAAAUAUUGGCGAGAGACCGAUAGCGAACAAGUACCGUGAGGGAAAGAUGAAAAGAACUUUGAAAAGAGAGUUAAACAGUACGUGAAAUUGUCAAAAGGGAAGCGUUUGACACCAGUGUUGUUUUUCUGAAAAUCAAUUAAAGAACUGUUUAUGCUAAGUUGUUUAGACUUUAUCAGCUAUCUGCUUAGUUUUGAGCUUUUCUUUAAUGCACUUUUCAGUUAACAAGUCAACAUCAAUUUCUUUUGCUGUAAAAAAGCUUGAGGAAGGUGGCUUGAGAUUCGUCUUAAGUGUUUAUAGCCUUUUGCCUAUGCAGUCGGAGAGAUUGAGGUCUGCAGCGUAGAUCCUUCGGGGCUAAAUGCAUUUGUGCUAAGUUAUAGCAUUUUAUAGACAACUUGUUGACUAUGAUUUGUCUUGUAGCUUACUCGCUUAUGUUAUUUUACCUACGCUUAGGAUGUUGAAGAUGUAGCACAUCA